UACGUAGGGGGCAAGCGUUGUCCGGAUUUAUUGGGCGUAAAGAGCGUGUAGGCGGCUUUACAGGUCCGUUGUGAAAACUCGAGGCUCAACCUCGAGACGCCGGUGGAAACCGUAAGGCUAGAGUCCGGAAGAGGAGAGUGGAAUUCCUGGUGUAGCGGUGAAAUGCGCAGAUAUCAGGAGGAACACCGGUGGCGAAGGCGGCGACCUGGGACAAUACUGACGCUGAGGUGCGAAAGCGUGGGGAGCAAACAGG
rnacentral:rRNA from 1 species